GGUUUAUACCCAGUUAACCAAGGUUAGCAUGAAGUUCGACCUGUCGAAAGAUUGUGUUGAACAAUAAUAAUUUUUGGAAAAGCUUCUUCGGGGUUAUCCGUCGAAGCGAU
rfam:Caenorhabditis tropicalis strain JT1373 unplaced genomic scaffold Scaffold596, whole genome shotgun sequence.